ensembl:lncRNA
AUCGGUGCAAAUUGUAAGUUUGUAUCAUAAUGUCUGGUGUUUUCGUAUUUGUUGGUUUGUUUUUAUUUUGUUUUAUUUUGCGAGUUGGUAAUUUUUGCUGCUCCAGCCAGCCAGAGAAUCCCCCGCCGCCCCGCCCUCUCCUCCCUGUGCCGCAAGCAGCAGGCGCACCUCGCAAACGGAGGGCGCCCUUACUCCCAGCAAAUGGGCGAUAGAAAACCGAUCGGUGCCUAUGACAUUCCCAAUAUGCGCUGGCAUGAUGUCGGGGCAGCAUGAGUACGAGCAAUUUUUUUUUUUUGCCGAUGCCCGUGAUGCCGCCCCCCACCACGAUGCCGCCCUGGGCAACCGCCCGUGUCGCCCGUAUCUAAAACCGCUACUGCCUGAGAUGUCAGGUCUGUGAAGCCAAACUUGAUGCUGGGGAUUUAUUUUUGUCAGUGGAGUCAAAUGGUUGAAGCAGAAUUUGCCCGUCUUACAUCUGUUGACCUGAAAGGGUUCCUUUUUGCUGUGCUUGACCAUUAUGGAGAGGUUCGUGGAGCUGUACAAAAUCAAGAGCGGCAUAGGAGGGCUAACUAGGCUCAUAAGAUGCUUCGGUGAUGAUAGCCCUACACAAAGGAAGAGGACAGAGGACCUCAUUUUCUAAAGGAAGAUCCUCACACACUUUCAAGACUGUGAAGCCGACAGGUAUUGAAGACACGUUUUCUAAGAGGAUGAAAGUUGGCAUUGCGAUGGUGAAAGAAGAAGACAUCAUCGAUGUGUUGGUUGUCCUUGAGGCGGCAGUAAUCCUGUCUAAUCUGAGG